UACGUAGGUGGCAAGCGUUGUCCGGAUUUACUGGGCGUAAAGAGCGCGCAGGCGGUCGUUCAAGUCGCGUGUGAAAGCCCCCGGCUCAACUGGGUAGGGUCACGCGAUACUGAUCGACUCGAAGGCAGGAGAGGGUAGUGGAAUUCCCGGUGUAGUGGUGAAAUGCGUAGAUAUCGGGAGGAACACCAGUGGCGAAGGCGACUACCUGGCCUGUUCUUGACGCUGAGGCGCGAAAGCUAGGGGAGCAAACGGG
rnacentral:rRNA from 1 species